UAUAAUCCUAUAAUCAUUAUUUAUAUAUAAUCAGAGAGAGAGGAGAGAGAGAGAGUCAAAUUCAAAUUAACAGUUAAAAAAAUUCUGCCCUGGACCUCAUGCUCAGGUGAUCUAACGAAAUUUUGGCUUGCGUUAACUGGUUCAGCAUAUUGGAAAGGGGAAAGAUUCCCAUUUGAUAUUAUUAAAAUAAUAUAAACUUUGUGGCAAAAUAAGUUAAAGGCAAAAAAAAAAAGAGAAAAAAAAGCUGCAGUUUGAAGCAAGGAGAUUUUAGGGUAGAUACAGGGAAAGCGCUAACAAGAGGGGAGCAAUUUGGGGAACUGUCCUAGAAAGUACAAGUGCUGGGGAGUUGUGUGCAUAAGAAAGACAUUAAGGAAGGGAUGAUGUUUGUAGUGAGGUGUAAAUCCCUCCCGAAAAUCCUUGAGCUUGUUAGGACAAACUAACAUUGUUUUUCAAUGAUUCUGGAACAAAUGUGUGUGUGAGUGCGUGCGUGCAUGUGUGUGUGUGUGUGUGUGUGUGUGUGUGUAAGCAGUAGAGAGACACGGGCUGCAAAAUAUGCAGAGCGAGACCUGAGAUGGAAAAGAUAGAGAUUUAAAUCUCUAGGGUCAAAUUGUUACACUUAUUGGGGCACCUGGGUGACUCAGCGGUUUAGCACCGCCUUCAGUCCAGGGUGUGAUCCUGGAGGCCUGGGAUCAAGUCCCACAUCAGGCUCCCUGCAUGGAGCCUGCUUCUCCCUCUGCCUGUCUCUGCCUCUUUCUCUGUGUCUUUCAUGAAUAAAUAAAUAAAAUCUUUAGAAAAAAGGAAAUUGAGGUGGGAAAUUGUAACUUUUGCUUUCUUCAUUUCCAUAAUUUGACAAUUUCCCUAAUUUGCAUAUAACAUGCUUAAAUAAAAAAUAAACUUCUUAUAAAAUAAUUUUGAUCAUCAUAAAAGCACAUUUCGUACACUGACCUCUGAGACAAUAGUUAGAAGAAAGCAACUGGUGGCACCUUCCCUGGCAGGAUCUUCCUUUAUUCCCAGGGUAAUCUCUCCUCAGUUUUUCCUCCCAACUUCUGUCUCCUAUGUCUUCUUUCCCUUCAUCCUUUUUGCAAUAUGUCCAGAUUCCUCUUUCUGCUUUUUAGAAAAAAAAAAAACCUUUAUUUUUAUUUUUUUUAUCAUCUCAGGAUGACUUUUCAAGUGCCAGUAUUUAAAUCUUAUUUUUUGGAGAGAGGAGGGAGAAAUAGAGGCGAAAGCCACAAUGCAGGAACUGUAAAUUGCUGAGAUUUACCUUUGUUGUGCAACUGGAGUACGAAUGUAUUGCCAAAAUAGCCUGACAUUUAGCAAAGUGCUGGAUUGCUGGGCCAUUACUGCAGUUACUAAAUAUACUCAAGCAAACAAUAAUUAAUCUUCCCAUGUCUUAGUACCGUCUGCAUCUUAAUAUUGUUUUUCAGUCUGUUCAUUUUGGUGAUCACAUUCACAGAAUAAUUUGACCAUAUACAGGAAAUGUAUUCAGAGUAUAUUCUUAAAUAUGAGGGAGCUUAUUUUGGCCACGAAGAGGCUUUAGAUAAUUUGCUGUCUUCCAACAAUGGUUCUACCUUUGAUUUUUUUCCCCUAAACCCAUCAGAUGGCACUUUAAUUCGCUUCUGUGUAAUCAUUCGUCUGAUGUGAAAUUUCUGGCUCUGUUUAAAAUAAUCAACAUGUCAUAAAACAUAAGUUAGUGCUGCAAAUCCCAAAAAACAUAAUAUGAAAUGGUGACCUAUUUAUAACCUUACAAAAUAUUCUUCUACAAAUAGAUUAUAUGUAUCUAAAUUAUCUGUAUGCAGUAGUUAUUAAAGACAUAAAUUUAUGUCCAUCUGUAUCACUAGGCCUAGAAGAGACAUUAAGAGCCCUCAGCAGAGACUGUACACUUCUGUUUAACUAUUUUAUUCAAUCUGGGGUGAAAAAAAUCACAUGAAGUGAUGCAAAGAAAGAAUGUUAUAAAUUAUCAUGUUGUUACAUAGCUUCAUUUUAUAGCUUAUACAGGUAAAUAACCAGAAAAUAUUUUUAUUUCUAUUGCUAAUCAUACUCUGCUUCCUAAAGCACAAUAAAAUUGUAGCACCAGGCAUGAUCCAGGCCAUUUUUCACACUUGGUCUUACAAAAGUGAGAAAUGUCCCUGCUUCUGUUAUAGUACCUGCCAGUGGAGGAUUUCCAGGAGUUGCAACGUCAAAGUACAAGAAGGAACACAAGCACAUUGGAGGGCAGUCUCCGUGACCUUGAAGAAGGAUGGCCAUAUCACAAGAACAUAUCACUUUUGGAGCGAGGAUGUGAAAAUCGAAGGAUGGAGCUGGGUCUAUUUUUAUUUCUCCUCCCUUUGGCAUUCUUCAAACAUUCAUUUUCGAAGCAAACGUUGUACUCAUUGAUGACUUCAGUUAAAACAUCUGAGUAGGCCAGGGUGGUACCUACUACAGGAAUUUGUCAGUUCCUUCCCGAUGAUGAUUUCUGAACACCCUGUAUUGCGCCUGGAUACACUCAAUGAAGCAGUUUAUUUGAAGGCUUACACGAAGUCUGGAAGUAAAUACUGGAACACCAUGUUGGUCAUUUUGGAUGGAACUCUGAACAAUUGUGCAACAUAGUUGAGGAUCACUUCCCUGAGAUGAUUCAUGAGCAAACUGCAGGAAAUUAUUGAUGAAGGCCCUUAACAGGCAAUGAUAAGAAAGAUAAGUUACAUCUUCCUGGGGCCAAGUCGUGUCUUCCAUCAUCUCUUCAAUUCUUGUUGUGACAUAAGCUAACAUUCUAUUAAGUUUUGCUUUGUUUUUCCAUAGUGGAUGAAAAUGUUUUCAGAUUUCACGCUUCCAAAUAGGCAACACUGAAAAUAUUGAAUCUACUUGGCCGUUUGAUGCAAGGACUAAGUGCUGGGAAGACUGGUCUCCUUGGACGAAUAGAUCAGUGAGGCAUAAAGACAGAAAGGAUUCUCAAAGGCAGCGCUUCCCAAUCUUCCUGGCAUAUGCGUAGAGAAUGCGUAGAGAAUAACACUGGUUGGGGACACAAGAAUAAUUGAGAAGAAUGCUUCGGGUCAUGUGGUCUUCUGCUGCAACUAUUGAACUCUGCCUUGUAAUGUGACAUCUACCAUAGAUAACAGAAGAAGGAUAAAUGUGGCUAUGUUCCAAUAUAUUUAUAGAUACUGACAUUGAAUUUCAUGUCAUUUCACAUGUGACAAAAUACUAUUACUAUUUUGAUUUUAAUAAUCAAUAAUGGUUAAUGUAAAUUUUUAGCUUACAGACUAUACACAUUAUGAUAGUUACCAAUCUUUUACCAUUGUCAAAGUUCUGAACCUUACACAUUAAAGGCAUAGAUUUCAUUGAAUGUAAAUUAUGCUUCU